GAUGAACGCUAGCGGCAGGCCUAAUACAUGCAAGUCGAACGGUGUCUUCGGACAUAGUGGCGCACGGGUGCGUAACACGUAUGCAACCUACCUUACAUUGGGGGAUAGCCUUUCGAAAGGGAGAUUAAUACCGCAUAAGACAGUAGCUGGGCAUCCAGCAGCUGUUAAAGAUUUAUCGAUGUAAGCUGGGCAUGCGUCCAAUUAGCUAGUUGGUGAGGUAACGGCUCACCAAGGCAAUGAUUGGUAGGGGAACUGAGAGGUCAAUCUCCCACACUGACACUGAGAUCCGAGCCAGACUCCUACGGGAGGCAGCAGUAGGGAAUAUUGGGCAAUGGACGUAAGUCUGACCCAGCCAUGCCGCGUGCAAGAUGAAGGCGUUAUGCGUUGUAAACUACUUUUAUACAGGAAGAAACGACUCUUGCGAGAGGCAUUGACGGUACUGUAUGAAUAAGCACCGGCUAACUCCGUGCCAGCAGCCGCCGUAAAAC
rnacentral:rRNA from 1 species